GACGAACGCUGGCGGCGUGCUUAACACAUGCAAGUCGAACGGUGAAGCGCCUUCCUUUUUGGUGGGUGUGGAUGAGUGGCGAACGGGUGAGUAACACGUGAGUAACCUGCCCCCUUCUUCUGGAUAACCGCAUGAAAGUGUGGCUAAUACGGGAUAUUCUGGGUCUGUCGCAUGAUGGGUCUGGGAAAGAUAUUGUUUCGGUGGGGGAUGGGCUCGCGGCCUAUCAGCUUGUUGGUGGGGUGAUGACCUACCAAGGCGGUGACGGGUAGCCGGCCUGAGAGGGUGGACGGUCACACUGGGACUGAGACACGGCCCAGACUCCUACGGGAGGCAGCAGUGGGGAAUAUUGCACAAUGGGCGCAAGCCUGAUGCAGCGACGCCGCGUGAGGGAUGGAGGCCUUCGGGUUGUGAACCUCUUUCGCCAGUGAAGCAGGCCUGCCUCGUUUGUGGGUGGGUUGACGGUAGCUGGAUAAGAAGCGCCGGCUAACUACGUG
rnacentral:rRNA from 1 species